rnacentral:rRNA from 1 species
UGGGGAAUUUUGGACAAUGGGCGAAAGCCUGAUCCAGCAAUGCCGCGUGUGUGAAGAAGGCCUUCGGGUUGUAAAGCACUUUUGUCCGGAAAGAAAUCCUUGGCUCUAAUACAGUCGGGGGAUGACGGUACCGGAAGAAUAAGCACCGGCUAACUACGUGCCAGCAGCCGCGGUAAUACGUAGGGUGCAAGCGUUAAUCGGAAUUACUGGGCGUAAAGCGUGCGCAGGCGGUUUGCUAAGACCGAUGUGAAAUCCCCGGGCUCAACCUGGGAACUGCAUUGGUGACUGGCAGGCUAGAGUAUGGCAGAGGGGGGUAGAAUUCCACGUGUAGCAGUGAAAUGCGUAGAGAUGUGGAGGAAUACCGAUGGCGAAGGCAGCCCCCUGGGCCAAUACUGACGCUCAUGCACGAAAGCGUGGGGAGCAAAACAGGAUUAGAUACCCUGGUAGUCCACGCCCUAAACGAUGUCAACUAGUUGUUGGGGAUUCAUUUCCUUAGUAACGUAGCUAACGCGUGAAGUUGACCGCCUGGGGAGUACGUCGCAAGAUUAAAACUCAAAGGAAUUGACA